UAAUAUUAAAAUUAUUGAAAAUAUUGUAUAUGACUUUAAAAUUUUAUAGAUGCUAUUUUGGCUCAUGUAAAAGCAUGAAUUAGCAAUGACAAUUAGUUAGUUGGUUACAAUUCAAGGCAUUUAUUAACAUUUCUUUGAUAGGAAUGUUUGGUUCGGUAAUUUGUUGAUAGUCCCUAAGUGAACCUUCGGGCGCUGCGGCCGGGAGCGAUAGAGAACCGCUGGCCGACAGUAACGUUCAUAAAUCGGAUCAACCUUGAGCUAAACGCCGCUUACUCCGCGGAGCUCGAAUAUCGAAUAUCCAACUUGAAACUAACUUCACUGCGGUAAACGCCAAGAGAUCGGACCG